rnacentral:lncRNA from 12 species
AGGCAGUGCAGGAGGCAAGGCAGGGAGGGGAUGUACCCUGGUGAAGCUGGGAUGGGGGUGGUUUGAUGUGUCUAUACCUAAAAUCAGCAUAUCUGGAAAUGCUCUUGAGCUCCAGGAUUCUGAAGAUGCUGACAACAAAUGGUGGAUCUGUGCUGGGAGGUUCUUGCACAAAACAGGUAUUUCUCAUGUCAGACCUUCAG